ACUCCUACGGGAGGCAGCAGUGGGAAUAUUGCACAAUGGGCGCAAGCCUGAUGCCAGCCAUGCCGCGUGAUGUAGCAAGAAUGGGCCUUCGGGUUGAUGAAAGCACUUUCAGUUGUGAGGAAAGGUUAGUCGCUAAUAUCGGCUAGCUGUGACGUUAGCAACAGAAGAAGCACCGGCUAACUCCGUGCCAGCAGCCGCGGUAAUACGGAGGGUGCGAGCGUUAAUCGGAAUUACUGGGCGUAAAGCGCGUGUAGGUGGCUUGUUAAGCCAGAUGUGAAAG
rnacentral:rRNA from 1 species